rnacentral:rRNA from 1 species
UGGGGAAUUUUGGACAAUGGGGGCAACCCUGAUCCAGCAAUGCCGCGUGUGUGAAGAAGGCCUUCGGGUUGUAAAGCACUUUUGUCAGGAACGAAACGGAGCUGGCUAAUACCUGGCUCUAAUGACGGUACCUGAAGAAUAAGCACCGGCUAACUACGUGCCAGCAGCCGCGGUAAUACGUAGGGUGCGAGCGUUAAUCGGAAUUACUGGGCGUAAAGCGUGCGCAGGCGGUUGUGCAAGACAGAGGUGAAAUCCCCGAGCUUAACUUGGGAACUGCCUUUGUGACUGCAUGGCUAGAGUGUGUAAGAGGGGGGUAGAAUUCCACGUGUAGCAGUGAAAUGCGUAGAUAUGUGGAGGAAUACCGAUGGCGAAGGCAGCCCCCUGGGAUAACACUGACGCUCAUGCACGAAAGCGUGGGGAGCAAACAGG